AGUGAACGCUGGCGGUAGGCCUAACACAUGCAAGUCGAACGGCAGCACAGUAAGAGCUUGCUCUUACGGGUGGCGAGUGGCGGACGGGUGAGGAAUACAUCGGAAUCUACUUUUUCGUGGGGGAUAACGUAGGGAAACUUACGCUAAUACCGCAUACGACCUACGGGUGAAAGCAGGGGAUCUUCGGACCUUGCGCGAUUGAAUGAGCCGAUGUCGGAUUAGCUAGUUGGCGGGGUAAAGGCCCACCAAGGCGACGAUCCGUAGCUGGUCUGAGAGGAUGUUAGGCCACAUGGAACUGGAGACACGGUCCAGACCCCAACGGGAGGCGGCGGGGGGAAUAAUGGAAAAUGGGGGGCAACCCUGACCAAGCCUACCGGGGGGGGUGAGGAAGGCCUUCGGUUGUAAAGGCCUUUUUUUGGGGAAAAAAAAGCGGCGGGUAAAAACCCGGCGUUCCGACGGUAACCAAAAAAUAAGGCACGGCUAACUUCGUG
rnacentral:rRNA from 1 species